UCUCGAUUUCUAUCAUAAAAGAUCGAUAAUCAAUAGGACAAUCGAUUUUUCAAAUAGAUCUGAAACGAGUCGCAUAAAGACAUUCGAACAAAAUGGCGUUUUGUGUUGUAACGAAAGUUAUCUUGUCCAUCUAUUCAAAGCUACGAAACGAUAGAAAAAGAAUAUUUCAUAGUUCGAGGUUAUUUGUUUCCUGUUUCACGUUGAAUUAUAUAAAAAAAGAGAUAACAAUGCCCGUCGAGACGAAACGCAAUCGAUGCCAGGCCACUGUUUUUCUCCUGUCUUUGAACGUGUGAAUGUCUUCGCCAUAUCGCAUCAAGGACGGAUUGUCUCUUUCAUAGUGUUUUCGUGAGACGAAUUUCUGGAACGUUGUCUCUUUACAACCGUGUGAAAAGAUCGAAACGGAAAUAAAAUCCUCCUCACUCCUAAAAAUCGAUUUUACUACCGUCCAUGUUGGAAAUUCCUUGCACGGAGAACAAUGAAAAUCCUCAAAUAAUAUUCAAAAAGGGACGAAAGUUGGUAUUACAAGUCCUCUAUCUCAUCAAAUAGCCAUAAUAAAAGAAAGCUCUCCAACUUUUGGUCACAUCGAUAACCUUGAAAUUCAUACUGUUUUCCCUUAUUACGAGCAACUAAAGAGUUCGUCAGAAGUUGUUAUGAUUUCUUUUAAGAAGCCCUUCGGAGAAAUGGCGGGUGAUUGAUGUGAGACACACACAGAUCACCCUGGGGGAUCGACGAUCCCGUUUCACCAACGACCUCGACUCAUCAAGGACAAUCCUUAUCGGGGGUAAUAGACACGAAGGAUUUUCAAGCGAACCUACAGAAAAACAAAAUCUAACGAUGAAUCGAGAGUAUCCUCGAGAGCAAAUGGGAGCACCCUCGUCAACCACAAUUUUCCAUCGAGUUCUUCUUACUGUCAAGGUCGAGGCAGAUUGUCACAGCGAGGAGGGCACGAUGAUUAUCGCGUAUUACGAAUCUCUCCACUAUGGAUCUGUCGACUACUGAGAAAAUCUUCUCGAAGGGAUGCCAGAUUAUCGCGAUUGUUGCUCGAAUUACUUCUGUUGAGCAAGAAGUUUGUCUGGUUGAAUAAUAAUGGCUGCCAAUGUUUAUAACAUUUCAAAUAUUACGUUAUGUCGUGAUACGGUUUGAACGAUUGGAUGCUUAUCUUUGAUCAUUUUAUCCUGGCAAUUUCGAAUACUACGUUUCGUAGAAAUGUUGAAUUGUUUAUCGGCUUAUUCUUAAUGUUUCCUAUAGUGUUUAGAAUUUUAUUUUAUUUUUAUUAUAUUCUAAAUUCUAAUUCCAAAUUAUGAAAUAUAUAAUUUGCUUGAAUGGAGGCUAGAAUAACGUUUACGAAAAUAUUAUCAUAAUGUAUGUUUAUAAAUCAGGACAUUUAAUUCGAGAUAAAGAUAAACGAGUAUUAACAAUAGUUACAAAUUGAAAUUGAAACUUAUCAAAUAACUUAUAUGUAUAUAUAUAUAUACUUUUUAAAUCGUUACGUAGAAAACAUACAUUUUUAUAGUAUUUUUGUUUCUACGCUUAAUGUAGGAAUUACUAGAGAAGUUGGGAAUCUAAGUUUAACCUUAAAAUUUACUUGGUCCUACGGAGUCAAAGUAAUGGGGAAAAAGAUGAUAAAUAAAAUAGAGAGAGAGGCUGUAAGAAGGAAAACGGCCGGUAGACGAAUUAUGGUCGAACGAAAGCGAAUGCAAUUAAGGGGGCCGUGGAAAUGGGAAAUAAUGAAUUCAAGCCCCGUUUCUGCCCGUGUGCUCCCGGGGGAUUACCGUGUAGCCGUACGAUUCAAGGGGUGGGAAGGAAGGUGAAGAUUAUUCCGGCCUGCAAAGGGAAUCUGGAAGCUAUGACCUACUUCAAUUUGCCUUCUCCACAUUCGUAGGCACUCCACGUUCUUCACUUUCCUCGUAGUUGUCGUCGUGCUUGUCGCUCGCCUUGUUGCUCUGCUCCCCCCUCCUCUCCCCUCGCCGCUUCCUUUUGCCACCAGGCAGUCGGAAAAAGAGAAAGAGAAGAAGAGUGGCGGUGGAAUCGAAUAAUAAAUUCGAGGGAACAUUAUUUUUGGCUCCCUGUUUCCUCGCCCAGCCGAACUCUCUUUUCACCGAUUGUUGCUUUUAGGCUGGAGGGCUUGUUAUAUAUGCGUUCGAUAAAUUGAACGCGAUUCCCCCGUCCUUGUCGAUGUUUUCGGUCUACUUUAAACUGUUUUCCUCGAGCAGUCUUAUGGGGGAUUGUUCCGCGGGGUUCCUUAAAAUAACCGAAUUUAUCUUGUUCUGUGUAUAUUGUUGUAUGUUGAGGAUAUAUUUUCGAAUCUUUGGGCAAAUUUAUGGGAUGUGUAUGUUUUUUCUUUCUUUUUUCUUUUCUUUCUUUUCUUUUUCUUUUUCUUUUUCUUUUUUUUUUUAAACAGAACAAUCACAAAGAAUCGUACAAGACGAGUGUAACACGGAUACGUAACGAUAUAGUGCGAUGAUUAUUAAAAAAAUGCGAUCUUCGAACCGUUUUUAUUAAAAUUAUUAAAGAAACGUGAUUUAUUAAUUUUUUUCUUUGUGAAGGAAGUUUGGAAGUUUGGAAGUUUCGAAGGUACUUGAGUUUGUUUGUUGGUUAGGGGGUGAUUAUUUCAAGAAACGUCUAAUUUAUGUGAAUUCCAUGGAUAUACCUCCCGCAAGGCAGGUGUUGCACAAGCAGAUCGCGCCGCAACACCUGGCGCCCCAUACAUUCCCCAUAUGACAACUUCCCUUCCUCCAUUUACCGCUAAAUAUAACAGGAACUAGUAUUUCUGCCUCGUUAGAGGACUAAUUACGAGAGAAAUUCUUAAGUCUUGUUGGAAAAUAAAUAUAAUUUUUGUCUACUAUAACUCAGAUAGUCUAAUCCCCUUAAUGAGCAUGUUCUUAAAACAAGCUGUAUCGCUAUAAAUAAAAAUUUCAAGGAAGAA